UACAGAGGGUGCGAGCGUUAAUCGGAAUUACUGGGCGUAAAGCGCGCGUAGGCGGCUUUGCAAGUCGGGUGUGAAAUCCCCAGGCUUAACCUGGGAACUGCAUUCGAGACUGCAUUGCUAGAGUAUGGGAGAGGGAAGUGGAAUUUCCGGUGUAGCGGUGAAAUGCGUAGAUAUCGGAAGGAACAUCAGUGGCGAAGGCGGCAUCCUGGACCGGCAUUGACGCUGAGGAGCGAAAGCCAGGGGAGCAAACGGG
rnacentral:rRNA from 1 species